rnacentral:rRNA from 1 species
AGAGUUUGAUCAUGGCUCAGAACGAACGCUGGCGGCAUGCCUAACACAUGCAAGUCGAACGCGUGUAGCAAUACACGAGUGGCGCACGGGUGAGUAACGCGUGGGAACCUGCCCAGUGGUAGGGAAUAACUGCGGGAAACUGCAGCUAAUACCCUAUACGCCCUACGGGGGAAAGUUUUUCGCCAUUGGAGGGGCCCGCGUCGGAUUAGCUAGUUGGUGAGGUAAGAGCUUACCAAGGCGACGAUCCGUAGCUGGUCUGAGAGGAUGAUCAGCCACACUGGGACUGAGACACGGCCCAGACUCCUACGGGAGGCAGCAGUGGGGAAUAUUGGACAAUGGGGGAAACCCUGAUCCAGCAAUGCCGCGUGAGUGAUGAAGGCCUUAGGGUUGUAAAGCUCUUUCGACGGGGACGAUGAUGACGGUACCCGUAGAAG